UACGGGGGGGGCAAGCGUUGUUCGGAAUUACUGGGCGUAAAGGGCUCGUAGGCGGCCAACUAAGUCAGACGUGAAAUCCCUCAGCUUAACUGGGGAACUGCGUCUGAUACUGGAUGGCUUGGAUUCGGGAGAGGAAUGCGGAAUUCCAGGUGUAGCGGUGAAAUGCGUAGAUAUCUGGAGGAACACCGGUGGCGAAGGCGGCAUCCUGGACCGACAUUGACGCUGAGGAGCGAAAGCUAGGGGAGCAAACGGG
rnacentral:rRNA from 1 species